UCUUCACUCCAGACUUGAGUGCAUACUGGCAUACAGGCUCAAAGAGUGACUAUCUUUUGAGAUGUGCUGUUCUGAUGGUGGAAGAUGGAAGCAAAACUAAAUCAUGCAAGUCAUAUGUGCUCACAUUUUAUUGGUUAAAGCUCAAAGAGGGACUACUUCCUGAGACAUGCUGUUCUGAUGGUGGAAGAUGGAAGCAAAGCUAAAUUAUGCAAGUCAUAUGUGCAUAAUUUUAUGGUUAAAAAUAUAUAGAGUUGUUUGGAUAUGGAUAUCCUUAUGGUGAACCAAAGAGCAUGGACUUCAGAGUUGGACCUUACUUGCAUCUUGACUCUAUGUGAACUUCUGCAGAAUAUUGGUUUCCUCUGAAUCUCAGUCCUUCACAGGCCAAAUUGUCAGAGUGAGCAGAGAUGCUUAGGGUUUCCCAAGGAAUCACAAAGACUGACUCCUUCAAAAGGAAGGCUUUUUUUGACUAGAAUAGGCUGGAGGAUGACAACUGAGAAAGAAGAUGGUAGCAGUAGAUAGGAGCAUGAAAUAAGAUGUGGAUGGAUAAACCCAAACUGCUAAAUGUUGUUUGCUUCAAGAGGAAACAGCUGAAGAGGCCAAAGACAAUUUUCCUUUAUUUAAUUUUCUUUAAGUAUAAUUUUUAUACAUAUCUGUAUGUUAUUUCCAAAAGCAUGUUUUAAUUAUUAUAAUUUAAAAAUAAGAAAAGUUUUAAAUUUUGAUUAUAUAUCCUUUCAAAAGAAUUUCCAGAGAACACUUGAUCAGUAACACAUAAAGUUGGCAUAGUAACACAAAAUGAGAAAAUGUAUGGAAACGCUUUGCACAAAGGAAGCUCUUAGUAAAAGAAUUCUGAAAAGAAAAGAACUUCUCCAUGCAGCUUGCAGGUCUGAGUGGAAGUCAACAGCCUAUAUUUGAAUAUUUGUUGAAAGACUGCUUUCCUGACUUAGGACAUAAAAAAACAGUAUAGCAACAACAACAAAAUUCUUAUUCCUAAUAUCAAGAAACUGCCCAUAUGAUUAGUAAUAUCACCCUUGUAUUUUAUGUUAGAUAGCAGGUUUGGGUACCCCCCCCCACACACACACAUUAUUCAUACACAAACCACAGAAUCAUAAUUAAAAAAUGACUGAUUUAAAAAUAUUCUUGAUUUGAUCAAGAAUAAUGGAGCGUUUCUACAACAUUAAUUAAACUGUUAGUCAAGAGUUAUGUUGGUAAGCAUUUCAGGAAUUCACCUCAUCAUGC